AAGUUAAAAGUAUUUUAGUAUAAUUCCAGAAAGAUUCUUUUGACCCUUGUGGUAGUUUAAACCACUACUAUUAAAGACCUUUAGGCAGAUUACUGUAAUAUUGAUGACCGCAAGGCUCUCCUACUAAUCACACGGCUGACAGUGCAGGGUCGUGUGCUAAGCUCGGAGUUUCAUUUUCUAUUUUAUGUGGGAUAUUUCUCGUCGUUUCCCAGUAUUAUUAUUUCUUCGUAACGUUACUGGUACAUAUCUAUAUAUGUAAAGCGGAGAGCAAUUUUUUAUUGAUACGAAAGUUCCGUUCCGUCCAAUUGAAGACACGAGGAUUGAGAGAAAAUGUACGAGGCUGAAGAAUCAUCCCCAAAGAAAACGGAAGUGUCCACGCCUGGGGGAGGAGGCUGAACUGUGGUAGUUGUGUUGGAGGCGUUGGUGGAGGUGGUUGUUACAGCUUGUGUUCUGGUGUGAAGGCACAGAGUGGCAUAGUUAUUUCAGGCACAGAGUGGCAUAGUUAUUUCAGGCACAGAGUGGCAUAGUUAUUUCAGGCACAGAGUGGCAUAGUUAUUUCAGGCACAGAGUGGCAUAGUUA